UCAUCUCUCUCGCCUAGCCAUCUAUCCCCAACCAACCUUCUGUAACACGUCGUCCCCAAUCUCUUUUGUUACCUCCCCUCCUUCAUGGAUCCUCCUCGCCUAAAUCGCUGGACUGUCACCUCUCUUUUUACCUCUCCUCCUCUUCUUCCAUCUUCCAUUGGCUAGCUCAAGAGUAGAGCUUUAAUUAAGGUACAAGAGCGCGAGGCGGCUGNNNNNNNNNNNNNNNNNNNNUUUUUUACGAUUAAAAUUUUUCAUCAAAAGUUAUUUUUGAUAAAAUAAAAUUUUUUAAUGAUGAAAAUUGUUCAUCGUAAAUAACUAUUAUUAGCGAUGAAAUAUAUUUUUCAUCCUAAAAUAUUAUCAAUGAUGUGAUUAUUUGUGAUCAAAUAUUAGCGACGAAAAUUUUGUCGCUAAUAACUAUUACCAAUGGAAAUAAAUUAUUAACGAUAAAAAUUUUUCAUCGCUAAUAAUCUAUUUUGUUAUAGUGAAUUAUAUUAUAACAUAAUAUUGCAUCCUAAACCCACAGUAACGGAUUUGUAUAGCUCAAAUAAAUAAUUUAGGUUUUAACCAAUUUAACCUCCUGAAGAAAAAUUGAAAGUAUAUAAAAUAUACAUGCAAUUAGAAAAAGUACAUGCUACCAGAGGGUCUAUCACAUGCCAUAAUAAUUUUUCAAACUAUUAUGCCUCAGAAAAUAUUUCAAAAAUAGCACAUUAUGUCACAUAAUUAAAGAAAUAUCAAAAAAUUAAUUUUUGAGGACUAUCAUAAAAAAUUAACCUCUUCAAGGAUUAAACUGAAGUUUUAAAGUACUAUUUUGAAAUUAAAAGCUUCAGCUAGGGCUAAACAGUAAUAUAGAAAAUUGUAUAAAAUAAAUAUAUUCCACAGCAAGGACUAAACUUUAAUUUUGUUGGGAUUGAAAUCAAAUUUUGUAUUCUAUAGGGACUAAAAUGCAAAAGAUGCCAUAAACAAAAUCAAGCAAAUCGGAUUCGAAUUUUAGGUUGAAACCCGAAACCCGUUAAGGAUCCCUUCUUCCUCACGAUGGGCAGUAGAAAGAGGGGGGCCCAUAAUCGGUGCCCUCCAUAAAAUCUGGUUGGCGAUGGUUGGAAACCAAUCGAUCGGUGGGCCGCUACCAUGUCCUUGACGUCAGCUGCCAGUAGCCGCCGGCAAUCAAGGAGAAACCGUCAGUCUAUUAAGAUUCGACGAUCUUCACUAUAUUUUAUUUUAUUUAUUUUUUUGUUUGGACGACUGAGUGGCUGGCGAAUUGCAUCCAGCACCAUCGUCGGUCCUAUUCGCAGCACUGCCUAAUCGGAUGGAUGCCUGUGGUGGCAGCAAAGGAGGAGGAGAAGGGCAUGGCAGUGGAAACUGUCGGCCCUCCCUUCUUGUUUUUUUUUUGUCUGUUUGGGAUCUAAAUCAGAAUCACCAGCCCCUUACCGUCGGCUCAUGCCGGUGGCCACCGAAGCAUGGUCCAAUAGUGACAGGAAGAAGAAGAGAAGAGGGGACGGCGUAGGUAGAUCCAUCCCUCUUUUUCCUUCUCUUUUUUUUUUGAUUUUAAUCUCCUACAAAAAUACUGUAUUCUGAUACCAAUUGUUGAGAUUUUCUUAAGAUCAUAUGCAAAAGAUUAGAACAUAAAUUAUAAAUACAUACCUAUAUUUAUCAUUGAUUCCUAAAACUCGGAUGCUCAAACGAACACCGAAGAUCAAGUCCUUCUCUCUAACUUCCUCUCAACAGAUGGCUAUUCGAUGGGACAAGUUUGAGAAUUAAUUUCAUGGUAUUUAUAGGAAGUAGAGAGGGGACCUAGUCAAAUCUGAAACAAACUCUAACAGACCUUCCCAUCUUGAGCUUAAGUUAGGUUCAGACCUACACUGUGUUGCCUAAACCAUACCAUCUAAUAUAAGGUUCACAUAGCUCAAAAUAUAAGGAUCACUAACAAUAUCUGACUUACAUGCUUGUCCAUCAAUCUAGAUCAUGUAAUCAGCCCAUUUUUAAUAAAAUAAAAUAAUUAAUUAAUUAAUGAUAGCUCAUACUUAGAAAAAUUCUCGUAAGCCCAAUUUGUGUUAUUUAUGAUAAGCAGUGCCAAAGACACAGAGAGCCAAUAUCGUAGGUAAGAGCCCUCAUCACUGUUAAAUCGGGUCGCACUCCUCGAUAUAUAACAAAAAGCAAAACCUAUUCGAUUUAUAUCUAAUAUAUGACAUGAACUUUCUGAAAACUCUUUCUCCAACUUUUCUUUUCUCAUCCCUUGCACGUCAGGAACCUCGUGCUUCUCUUACCUUCUAUCUCAUCUUAACCUAUUACAAGCAUGUUAUCACUCACCAAGAAAUCAAAGUAAAAGAUUGAAAUCUUACUCUAACAUUUAUUAUAUCUUUAUUUUAUUUAAAAUAAUAAAAUAAAAUGCAACAUAUCUCCCGCGGCACUCUAGCACUAAAUAAUGCUUUGGGCACUCAUUUGGUGCACGAAGAAAAGAGUUCGGAUGUCUCAAUCACAUGACAUUAGGGGAAUUGCAACUAAUGAAACUUGUUGCAACACGCGUGGAUGGUUAAGCGAUGAGUUGCAGCUACGACUGUUUCAACCACAACGUCGAAGAUUUAAUGGGAGGCAGAGGCUAUCACAUCCGGUCAAUAACGGUCCACAGUCAUCUCUCUCGCCUAGCCAUCUAUCCCCAACCAACCUUCUGUAACACGUCGUCCCCAAUCUCUUUUGUUACCUCCCCUCCUUCAUGGAUCCUCCUCGCCUAAAUCGCUGGACUGUCACCUCUCUUUUUUACCUCUCCUCCUCUUCUUCCAUCUUCCAUUGGCUAGCUCAAGAGUAGAGCUUUAGUUAAGGUACAAGAGCGCGAGGCGGCGGNNNNNNNNNNNNNNNNNNNNCGGGAUUUGAAGG
rnacentral:lncRNA from 1 species